rnacentral:pre_miRNA from 2 species
UUGCUUCCCGGAGUUCCUCCCAAACACUUCAUCAGCUAGGCCAUGCACAAUGUGGACCUACUUUAGGCGGCUAGUGAAGUGUUUGGGUGAACUCUAGGUGGCAC